UUGGUCAUUUAGAGGAAGUAAAAGUCGUAACAAGGUUUCCGUAGGUGAACCUGCGGAAGGAUCAUUAAUGAAACUUCAAAGUCGGCCAAAGGUUGUUGCUGGUGAUUAUUCACAUGUGCACACCUUUGGUCGCAAAUCCACACACACCUGUGCAUCUAUGACUCGAGGUUGUAAUGACUGAGAGUAACUUUUAUACACUCUUGUAUGUAAUGGAAUGUCUUUUUGUGCUAUAAUGUACAAUAUAAACAACUUUCAACAACGGAUCUCUUGGCUCUCGCAUCGAUGAAGAACGCAGCGAAAUGCGAUAAGUAAUGUGAAUUGCAGAAUUCAGUGAAUCAUCGAAUCUUUGAACGCACCUUGCACCCUUUGGUAUUCCGAAGGGUACGCCCGUUUGAGUGUCAUUGUAAUCUCACUUCUACAACUUUAUUGUUGUUUGAAUGUGGACUUGGAUGUUGCCGUUUUAUCACGGCUCGUCUUAAAUGCCUGAGUGUACCCUGUUUUGCAGCGUAUCCAGUGUAAUAAACAUUUCACUAGAGUUGGUUGAAAGACCACGUUGACUAUAUGGGCUCUAUGCUUCAAACCGUCUGCCAUGUGGACAAUUUCUUGACAAUUUGACCUCAAAUCGGGUGGGACUACCCGCUGAACUUAAGCAUAUCAAUAAGCGGAGGAAAAGAAACUAACAAGGAUUCCCCUAGUAACGGCGAGUGAAGAGGGAAAAGCUCAAAUUUUAAAUCUGGUGUCUUUGACUCCCGAGUUGUAAUCUAGAGAAGUGUUUUCCGUGUCGGACCGUGUACAAGUUCCCUGGAACGGGGCGUCAUAGAGGGUGAGAAUCCCGUAUAUGCCAUGGACUACCGAUGCUCUGUGAUACACUCUCAACGAGUCGAGUUGUUUGGGAAUGCAGCUCAAAAUGGGUGGUAAAUUCCAUCUAAAGCUAAAUAUUGGCGAGAGACCGAUAGCGAACAAGUACCGUGAGGGAAAGAUGAAAAGCACUUUGGAAAGAGAGUGAAACAGUACGUGAAAUUGUUGAAAGGGAAGCGUUUGAAGUCAGUCGCAUCUGUUGGGGUUCAGCCUGGCUUUUGCCUGGUGUAUUUCCUUUCCGAUGGGUCAGCAUCAGUUUCGACCGAGGGAAAAAGACAUUUGGAAUGUGGCUGUCUUCGGGCAGUGUUAUAGCCUUGUGUUGUAUGUCUCGGUUGGGACUGAGGAUUGCAGCGCGCCAUAAAUGGCCGGGGGUCGCUCCUCUCGACACGCGCUUAGGAUGCUGGCAUAAUGGCUUUAAGCGACCCGUCUUG
rnacentral:rRNA from 1 species